rnacentral:tRNA from 1 species
GCCUUGGUAGCUUAACAGGUAGAGCACCCAACAUGUAAUUGGAAGAUCCGGGUUCAAGUCCCGGUCAAGGCA